rnacentral:rRNA from 1 species
CCUACGGGUGGCAGCAGUGGGGAAUAUUGGACAAUGGGCGAAAGCCUGAUCCAGCCAUGCCGCGUGUGUGAAGAAGGCCUUCGGGUUGUAAAGCACUUUCAGUGGGGAAGAAAGCCUUGGGGCUAAUACCCUCGAGGAAGGACAUCACCCACAGAAGAAGCACCGGCUAACUCCGUGCCAGCAGCCGCGGUAAUACGGAGGGUGCGAGCGUUAAUCGGAAUUACUGGGCGUAAAGCGCGCGUAGGCGGUCUGAUAAGCCGGUUGUGAAAGCCCCGGGCUCAACCCGGGAACGGCAUCCGGAACUGUCAGGCUAGAGUGCAGGAGAGGAAGGUAGAAUUCCCGGUGUAGCGGUGAAAUGCGUAGAGAUCGGGAGGAAUACCAGUGGCGAAGGCGGCCUUCUGGACUGACACUGACGCUGAGGUGCGAAAGCGUGGGUAGCAAACAGGAUUAGAUACCCUAGUAGUC